CUACGGGGCGCUGCAGUGGGGGAUAUUGCACAAUGGAGGAAACUCUGAUGCAGCAACGCCGCGUGAGGGAAGAAGGUUUUCGGAUUGUAAACCUCUGUUUUUGGUGAAGAAAGAAAUGACGGUAGCCGAAGAGGAAGCCACGGCUAACUACGUGCCAGCAGCCGCGGUAAUACGUAGGUGGCAAGCGUUGUCCGGAAUUACUGGGUGUAAAGGGUGCGCAGGCGGGACUGCAAGUUGGAUGUGAAAUACCGGGGCUCAACCCCGGAGCUGCAUCCAAAACUGUGGUUCUUGAGUGAAGUAGAGGUAAGCGGAAUUCCGAGUGUAGCGGUGAAAUGCGUAGAUAUUCGGAGGAACACCAGUGGCGAAGGCGGCUUACUGGGCUUUAACUGACGCUGAGGCACGAAAGCAUGGGGAGCAAACAGGAUUAGAUACCCUCGUAGUC
rnacentral:rRNA from 1 species